rnacentral:rRNA from 1 species
UCGGGAAUUUUGGGCAAUGGGCGCAAGCCUGAUCCAGCCAUGCCGCGUGAGUGACGAAGGUCUUCGGAUUGUAAAGCUCUUUUGGCGGGGACGAUAAUGACGGUACCCGCAGAAUAAGCCCCGGCUAACUUCGUGCCAGCAGCCGCGGUAAUACGAAGGGGGCUAGCGUUGUUCGGAAUUACUGGGCGUAAAGCGCACGUAGGCGGACUGAUAAGUCAGGGGUGAAAUCCCGGGGCUCAACCUCGGAACUGCCUUUGAUACUGUUAGUCUCGAGUCCGGAAGAGGUGAGUGGAAUUCCUAGUGUAGAGGUGAAAUUCGUAGAUAUUAGGAAGAACACCAGUGGCGAAGGCGGCUCACUGGUCCGGUACUGACGCUGAGGUGCGAAAGCGUGGGGAGCAAACAGGAUUAGAUACCCUAGUAGUCCCUGAGCGGGCUGGCAAGGCGCAU